AUAAGAGGUCCCGCCUGCCCUGUGACUAUAUGUUUAACGGCCGCGGUAUUUUAACCGUGCGAAGGUAGCGCAAUCACUUGUCUUUUAAAUGAAGACCUGUAUGAAUGGCAUAACGAGGGCUUAACUGUCUCCUCCUUUAAGUCAAUGAAAUUGAUCUCCCCGUGCAGAAGCGGGGAUAAACCCAUAAGACGAGAAGACCCUAUGGAGCUUUAGACAUUAGGACAUAUCAUGUUAAACACCCCAAGACAAAGGACUUAACUAAAUGAACUAUGCCCCCAUGUCUUUGGUUGGGGCGACCGCGGGGAAAUAAAAAACCCCCACGUGGAAGGGGAGCACUGCCUCCUACAACCAAGAACUGCAGUUCUAGUUAACAGAACUUCUGACCAAUCAUGAUCCGGCAAUGCCGAUCAACGGACCGAGUUACCCUAGGGAUAACAGCGCAAUCCUCUUUUAGAGCCCAUAUCGACAAGAGGGUUUACGACCUCGAUGUUGGAUCAGGACAUCCUAAUGGUGCAACCGCUAUUAAGGGUUCGUUUGUUCAACGAUUAAAGUCC
rnacentral:rRNA from 1 species